UAAGUCCAUAGAGACUAAAUGAAUUAAAGUCCAAGUACGAUUCAAGUAAGUGGGAAGAGGAAACAGAAGAGGUUAGUGCAUAAAGUUCUUUUGUCGGAGGUUCUCUAAGAAUUCAAAGUGAUAGAAAGACAUGAAGAAUGAGGAAAAUAGGGAAAACAUUAUAGUCAUUUUCAGAAAGCGAGGAAGUUAAUCAUAACAUAUAAAUACGAAAGAAGUCAUCUAUCAUGGGAUAAAAUCAAUCAAAGGGAGACCAAUGAUAAGCAGCAACAUAA
rnacentral:lncRNA from 1 species